UUUGAGUUUUGUACAUUGUUCAAAGUCUGUUUCCCACUUCUUCUUGAUAGUAGCUGCUGCGGCCAUUUUAUUUUAUCCGCCUACGCAAUAACCGCACGUGGGUGGUAGUAAUGGCGUCAAGUGCUCUUCAAGUGUCCAUGUGCUUUGAUUUUACUUCUCCUUUUCUAUAACUACGCUCUAGUUGUAUCAUAUAUCAAAAUACCAGGGUUUUGGAGAGGAUUAUAAUGGAGAAAAACCGCUGUCUGUAGCAUUUAAAAUAAGAAAGUUAUUACAUUAUGCAGAUUUAAAAGUCAGUGUGAACCUAGUAUAAAAAUCAUAAAAACGGCCGCCAUCUUGAAAAACCAACCUCAAUCCUACUUAUAGGCUACCGCCUAUAUAAUAGAGAGCCCACACUAAUGGUAGGCAUGGCUAGUGGUAUUAGCUCCUCCUGUCUAUUACCUCCAGCUGUUGGUUUCCCUCUCAUACUGUACUAGCCUUAAGCCCACCCUCUACCUUUAAUCAUAGAUACACAGUUCCAAAGGAGCAGCUAAACUAGCCAAGAGGAGAAACUAUGGCAGAGAAACAGAUUAUUCAGCAAAGAGAAAGAAGUUCACUAAGCCAACUGGUGGAAAGAAGGACAAUAGACAGAUGGUGCGAUGAUAAUUAACUCUCCCUUUGUUGGUGUGAAUUGAAAUUUGUCCUUUAUUAUUUAUGUAACUAAAAUUUUUUGUUUUUUUGGUAAGUGUUGAGUAUAGUGAAA